rnacentral:lncRNA from 1 species
UGACGAUAUUGCUGAAAACCAAGACUCAAGGCAUAGAGGCAGAAACUUUGUUAGACAGUUUGAAACAUGUGUUCAUGGCUCUCAGAGCCAAAGGAUCUGAGUUUGAUUUUUUUUUCACUGCUUUUACAUGUACUGAAAGAGAUUAUAGAAAGUACUUGUGAAUGUCCAUUUCAAUGAGAACGGUUCAAUAUUGUCCAACGGACACAUUACUAUCAACAAUGAUUCCAGGUAGCAAUAUCUUCAAAAUCAUUUAUAAAUCCAGCAACUUCAUGGUGAUUUAUGCAAUCUAUAUGGAGGGGGAACACUCUCUGGAUCACACACGUCUCACUUUGGCACUUGGGACUGGAAGAAGUAUGAGUGAGGAAGAGAGGGAGAAAUAUGAAGAACUCACUGCCUUGUGCAACAUUUCACCGCAAAACAUAAGAUACCUCACCGAAGCAGAUACCUGUCCUGAUUAAGGCCAUAGCGAUGAUGAGGAAGAACCAGGAAUAUUUUUAUCAUCAUCUUCUCCGUGGCAUCAAGAUCAUCAAUGUGAAGAGCAGAUAAGCUCUGUCUUUCCUGAGAUACCAUGAACCCUGCCUAACAGCUUUUCUUCCCAAGCUCACCUAUGUCCUACUUCAUGUUUCUCUUUUUCAUAGUUGAUUAAAUAAACCGAAAUAGGUACACAUGUGUCUCUGAAGAAAGGUACUAAAU